GGUCGGGUUGCUCUGAUGGCCAUGGGCGACUGCCCUUUCACGGCAGGGGUCGCGGGUUCGAUUCCCGUCCCGAUCA
rnacentral:tRNA from 1 species